GACGAACGCUGGCGGCGUGCUUAACACAUGCAAGUCGAACGGGAGUAUCGAAGAAGCUUGCUUUUAAGAUACUUUAGUGGCGGACGGGUGAGUAACGCGUGAGGAGCUGUCCUAUGCAGGGGGACAACAGUUGGAAACGACUGCUAAUACCCCAUAAGCCGAGAGGUAAAAGGAUUUAUCCGGCAAAGGAGGUACUCGCGUCCUAUCAGCUAGUAGGUGAGGUAACGGCUCACCUAGGCGAAGACGGGUAGCCGGCCUGAGAGGGCGAACGGCCACACUGGAACUGAGACACGGUCCAGACUCCUACGGGAGGCAGCAGUGGGGAAUUUUUGGCAAUGGGGGCAACCCUGACCAAGCAACGCCGCGUGGGUGAUGAAGUCUCUUGGGACGUAAAACCCUUUCGACGGGGACGAAACCGCAAGGUUGACGGUACCCGUAGAAGAAGCCCCGGCUAACUCUGUGCCAGCAGCCGCAGUAA
rnacentral:rRNA from 1 species